rnacentral:rRNA from 1 species
GACGAACGCUGGCGGCGUGCUUAACACAUGCAAGUCGAACGGAAAGGCCCUGCUUUUGUGGGGUGCUCGAGUGGCGAACGGGUGAGUAACACGUGAGUAACCUGCCCUUGACUUUGGGAUAACUUCAGGAAACUGGGGCUAAUACCGGCUAGGAGCUCCUGCUGCAUGGUGGGGGUUGGAAAGUUUCGGCGGUUGGGGAUGGACUCGCGGCUUAUCAGCUUGUUGGUGGGGUAGUGGCUUACCAAGGCUUUGACGGGUAGCCGGCCUGAGAGGGUGACCGGCCACAUGGGGACUGAGGUACGGCCCAGACGCCUACGGUAGACAGCAGUGGGGAAUAUUGCACAGUGGGGGGAAGCCUGAUGCAGCAACGCCACGUGCGGGAUGACGGCCUUCUGGUUGGAAACCGCAUUCACCUGAGACGAAGCGUUAGUGACGGUAAUGGGUAAAGAAGCACCGGCUAACUACGUG